UGCUGACAAAAGGCUUUGCAGCAGACUCUAACUCAUCUGAUAGAAGCGCAGGAAUAUCUGGCACUGAGGUGUUUGGCUAACUGUAGAUAAAUCUGUCAAAGCUUCUGGCACCAGCACAAGACAACAUUGGGACAAAAGUAGGCAGGGAGAGACGAGGGCAUGGCCCAGAAACGGCUCCCAAGUCCCAGCCCCUGUUUGAGUGGGGUUGUCUGCUAAUACACGGCUCAGCCUUUCCCUCAUCUUGCAAGCAAAAGAGAGCUUGAUGGAGAUGUUUCCACGUUUAACCUUCAGCCGUGUCUGUUCUUAAGGCUGAGGAGACAGGUUAAUCUGCGUUGACGCCGAAGACUGAACACACAUGGAAAAGGCAAACAGAGACACAACAGAGACCCUCCGAAAUCAAUGAAGCCUGAAGUUGAGCCUAGCAAGAUGAGGUAGUAGGUUGUAUAGUUUGUGGGACGGAGUGAAUCCUACUCAGGUGAUAACUAUACAGCCGAUUACCUUCCUUGAGAG